AGCAGGAAUGGCAGUCUCCUAGAAGGAGUGGUGGCUCUAGCUGAAAUCAUGGGGAAAUUUUACAAGUGAGCUGAAUAUAUUUGUACAAAGAUUUCUCAGAAGUGUUUGCAUUGCAAGUGACAUCUGGCUGACAGGAACUUGGAGAAAUGGGAUAUGAAGUGAAUGCUGCAGUUACCACAGCAUCGUAUUUAUCAAAAGGCUUAAGCUAUCUCGGGAAGGAAGGAACUUGGAGGCUGUUACACUUAUGGAUGUGGAGUUCAGAAGAGAAAAGCAAGAAGAGGUUGCAUGGAGAUGGUGAGGUGGAUAGAACAGACUGGGAGGGGAAAAGUCUGCCUGAGAGAGACAGAGAUGUCAGACUAAGUAAUCAAAAAAUAAUUGCAUCUGUACUGCUGCCAAGUGAUUUUCUGAUCUACGAAGUUAUCAAGCUGAGGGCACUCAGCAUCUUCCAGGACUUGGACCCUUCCUUUUAAACAAAUAGAAAGUCCAGCUUUGUGGUCCAAUUCACAGUAAGAAAGACCUAACAGUGAUUUUUCUUUAGGUCUGCAAUUGCAAGGUCUAGUUGGGAAACUUAACAAAAAAACCCCCCAAAACCCAAAACAAAAGUGGGGCAAGAAAGACAAAGAAAACACUUCAAAAUUGUUCAAAGGGGAAAAUUCUAUUCCAAGUGAACCUCAAGAGGAGCCCAUCUAUUUACUGAUGAUAUACUCCUUUGUUAGACAUUGGCAGCGUGAUUACCCUCCACUCUACUUUUCUCCCUGCUUUUGCAAACAUCUCCAGUCAAUAAAGAGACUUAUCCAUUGCCAUACUUGCCUUUCCUAGCAGUCAUGAACUUUCAUUUUUAUUAUAUGGGAAAAAAGCCUCUUUUUUUUUGUCAGACAGUUGAACAAAGAAUACUGAGAUGUUGAUCACUUCAGACCAGCAAAGAAAAGUAUCAAAUUGGAGCAUUCAGAGCAAUAUGUGUUCUGAGCAUAGCAAUGACAGGAACAGAACCAAUCAGAAAAGCAAAAGAGAUGAUACUGUAGCACAGUCUGCCAUUGAGGCUGGUUUCCUAAGCAUUGCAUAGUAGUUCUUUUCAACAGUUCUUUAACCAUGCAGAAUGCUAUAUAUGAUUCAUUGGAAUAUGCUUUGCACUUUUAGGUGAAGAUUACAAAGUAUUUAGCUUGUGUUGGCCUAGAAUGUUGUGGCAAAGAACUUGUCACACAGGAAACACUAUGUACCUUAUCACUUAAAAAAAAAAAAAUAGUAGGUGCUUUUGGAGCCUUUCUGAAUGGGUCCUAUUCACUGUUGCAAUUCCCAUGUGCUCUGAUGGUUUGUUAUAGAUGGAGUAUUAUAUAACAUAGUCCACUUACCUGUUUUCCAUGUUUUCAUGUACUCUUUCAAACAUGACACCUUUUCUUGGGUUCCUCUAAAGCUCAAGAGGCCUGA